rnacentral:rRNA from 1 species
GAUGAACGCUGGCGGCGUGCCUAAUACAUGCAAGUCGAGCGAAUGGAUUAAGAGCUUGCUCUUAUGAAGUUAGCGGCGGACGGGUGAGUAACACGUGGGUAACCUGCCCAUAAGACUGGGAUAACUCCGGGAAACCGGGGCUAAUACCGGAUAACAUUUUGAACCGCAUGGUUCGAAAUUGAAAGGCGGCUUCGGCUGUCACUUAUGGAUGGACCCGCGUCGCAUUAGCUAGUUGGUGAGGUAACGGCUCACCAAGGCAACGAUGCGUAGCCGACCUGAGAGGGGGAUCGGCCACACUGGGACUGAGACACGGCCCAGACUCCCACGGGAGGCAGCAGUAGGGAAUCUUCCGCAAUGGACGAAAGUCUGACGGAGCAACGCCGCGUGAGUGAGGAAGGCUUUCGGGUCGUAAAACUCUGUUGUUAGGGAAGAACAAGUGCUAGUUGAAUAAGCUGACACCUUGACGGUACCUAACCAGAAAGCCACGGCUAACUACGUGCCAGCCGCCGCCGUAA